rnacentral:rRNA from 1 species
UACGGAGGGUGCAAGCGUUGUUCGGAAUUAUUGGGCGUAAAGCGCGUGUAGGCGGCCUUGCAAGUCGGGUGUGAAAGCCCUCAGCUCAACUGAGGAAGUGCGCCUGAAACUGCAGAGCUUGAGUACCGGAGAGGAUGGUGGAAUUCCCGAAGUAGAGGUGAAAUUCGUAGAUAUCGGGAGGAACACCGGUGGCGAAGGCGACCAUCUGGACGGAUACUGACGCUGAGACGCGAAAGCGUGGGUAGCAAACAGG